UACGAAGGGGCUAGCGUUGCUCGGAAUGACUGGGCGUAAAGGGCGCGUAGGCGGCGAUCAAGGUCAGAUGUGAAAUUCCUGGGCUUAACCUGGGAACUGCGCUUGUUACUGGCAAGCUAGAGUGUGGCAGAGGGGGUAGAAUUCCAGGUGUAGCAGUGAAAUGCGUAGAUAUCUGGAGGAAUACCGAUGGCGAAGGCAGCCCCCUGGGUUAACACUGACGCUCAUGUACGAAAGCGUGGGAGCAAACAGG
rnacentral:rRNA from 1 species